AAUAUACUCUCUCCGUCCGGAAAUAUUUGUCGGGGAAAUGGAUGUAUCUAGACAUAUUUUAGUUUUAGAAACAUCCAAUUUUACCUAUUUGUGCGACAAGUAUUUCUGGACAGAGGAAGUAUUAA
rfam:Triticum aestivum genome assembly, contig: Triticum_aestivum_CS42_TGACv1_scaffold_320966_4BL